UGUCGGUGCCUUUCGGGGCAUUUCCUCCCUAGUCUUUGGCCGCGCUUUCUUCAUAGGAGCGCGGCUCUUUUUAUCAGCA
rnacentral:sRNA from 1 species